UACGGAGGAUGCGAGCGUUAUCCGGAUUUAUUGGGUUUAAAGGGUGCGCAGGCGGGAGAUUAAGUCGGCGGUGAAAUUUUGCAGCUCAACUGUAAAAGUGCCUUCGAAACUGGUUUCCUUGAGUGUAGAUGAAGUAGGCGGAAUUUGUGGUGUAGCGGUGAAAUGCUUAGAUAUCACGAGGAACUCCGAUUGCGCAGGCAGCUUACUAAACUACUACUGACGCUCAGGCACGAAGGCGUGGGGAUCAAACAGGAUUAGAUACCCUGGUA
rnacentral:rRNA from 1 species